UCUCUCUGAAUCUGCGAACGGCUCCGCAAACCAGUUGUAAACCAAGGCAAGUCCCGCUCAUGGUCGGUCCUUUCGGGGACUGGCCUGGGCAUUUAUAUGGAUAACCGUGGUAAUUCUGAGGCUAAUACAUGACAAUACCACUUGGCUGCUGGGCUCCCACUGCCUUCGGGCGGUGGGUCGGUUCGGUGGCAAGGUGCGUGCGAGUAAAGGCUGGGUAUAUCGGGAAAGAACGCACGUUCGGACCACCGCUUGCGGGCCUUGUGUGGAUGCGCAGUUUACUGUGCCCUGCGCUUGGUCUGGUGGCUCUUGCAGCGUGCUUCUGACCUAUCAACUAGAUGGCAGCAUACGGGACAUGCCAUGGUGACAACGGGUACAGAGGAUAAGGGUUCGAUCCUGGAGAGUGGGCCUGAGAGAUU
rnacentral:rRNA from 1 species